UACGAAGGUCCCGAGCGUUGUUCGGAAUCACUGGGCGUAAAGGGAGCGUAGGCGGUGCGGUAAGUCAGAUGUGAAAUCCCGGGGCUCAACCCCGGAACUGCAUCCGAUACUGCCGUGCUAGAGGAUUGGAGAGGUAGCUGGAAUUCUUGGUGUAGCAGUGAAAUGCGUGGAGAUCAAGAGGAACACUCGUGGCGAAGGCGCUUUGCUGGACCAUAACUGACACUCAGGGACGAAAGCUAGGGGAGCGAAUGGG
rnacentral:rRNA from 1 species